rnacentral:lncRNA from 1 species
GACGUGCAAAGCCUUGCUAAACAGGACCCAUGGGGGAGAGAUUUGAAGAAGCCAUCAGGGUUUUGACUAGAAGGCAGGGGUCCUCAAAGCUGUGAAAGUCUGAUCUAUCAGAGGUGGCUGCCAAGCUGUGCUUUCUUCUGCAGAUGGCAAAAGAAAAAGAUGUGAAACAAGACAUGUUUAAAUGGAAGAGAGAGGAAUGAGAGAGGAAGGCAAGAAUACAAAUAUUUAAGAAAGCUUUAUUUUCCUGAAGCAAAGAAUGACACUUGAAACCGAGGGAAUCUCAAUGUCCACCUUGCAUUUCCAUGACCAGCAAGAGAGGGGAACCCCUACAGGAAUGUUCAUCCUCUGCCUCUGACCUGGGAAGUCUCAGUCAUCCCCGAGGACCAAUUCCAAAUGUCAAUUCAUUCACCACCAUUGCCCUUGUCAUUGCAUCCACUCCUCCUCUCUCUCUGACUUGUGUUAAUGGUAGGUAACUGUGUAUGAAUCUAGGCUGGGGGUUUGUCUUUGAGGUCAAGGACUAUUUCUGAUUCACUGUGUGUCUCCCUAAAUCCUUCUUCCACCCAGCAAAGAUGCUCAAAAUAUAUAUACAAAUGAUA